rnacentral:rRNA from 1 species
UACGAAGGGGGCUAGCGUUGCUCGGAAUCACUGGGCGUAAAGCGCACGUAGGCGGCUUACUAAGUCAGGGGUGAAAUCCUGGAGCUCAACUCCAGAACUGCCUUUGAUACUGGUGAGCUUGAGUCCGGAAGAGGUGAGUGGAACUGCGAGUGUAGAGGUGAAAAUUCGUAGGUAUUCGCAAGAACACCGGUGGCGAAGGCGGGUCACUGGGCCGAUACUG